GGCGACAGUGCGGAACUGUAUCAAACGCCUACCUGGGAGCCUGUAUCUAAUAUUUUCUAUGCCGAGUGCGGAGUUCUAAAAUUCGGAGAAUGCGGAAUACUGCGCAUGCACAGAAGGCAUAGGCGUGCCAUAUUUGUUUACAGUUGUGGAUUUACAGCAAAAGACAGACAGAACAUUUUUGAGCACAAUUCUCAUAGUGAGUAUCCAUCAUCAAUUGUUAAUAAAUGUUGCUCAUAUUUUGGUAUUGUCACAGUAUAUAUGUAUAUAAAUUAUUUGUAUUUUAUAAUUUCGUGUUAUUUUUUAAAAAUGGAAUGGACAAAGAAUUUCAUCACUGCCUUGAUUUCUGCAUAUCAGGGCAAAAACUUUCUAAUAGUUGCAGAACAUUCACUGUACCACAACAAGGUAAACUUGUAACUUCUGUAACGUUCUUUGUGGUCCUUGUAUCUUUAUACUACUUAUAGGUGCAAGUAGAUACAUAAACGUGUAGAGAAGUAUUAUCGACAAAUCUUGUAUUUUUUCUAGAAUGCAAGGAAAGAGUGUUUGGAACGUGUAGCAACAAAAGUGGCCGAAGUCUUGCAAGGCAUUACCGCUGAUGACUGCAAGGCCAAAUUCUCAACUUUGUGGUCUCACUAUGGCGCUGAACUGAAGAAAAUACAUCAGAGCGAGGGCAUUGGCUCAUCCAGUGCCGUAUACAGGCCAAGAGUCUGGUAGUUUGAUGUUUUACAUUUCCUGAAAGACUUCAUUACACCACGCGAAAGCCGGUGUAACAUUCCGAACAGUGUUGUGCCUCACAACUCUGGUACAGAAAUCCCGAGGACUAGGAAGACGCCUGACAACUCAGUGAUAGAAAUCAUAAUUUUUUAUGAUGAGAGUAGUAAUAUCGAUAGCCCACCAUGUACAUCAAAUAGUGAACGCCCAGAUAUCACAAUUGAUAAUAUGGAUGUGGUGCUAGUUAACAACAGUGCUGAAUUUGAGGUGCCUAGUACUCCAGUGGUUUCUGGUGCAUAUUCCACUACACCAAAAGUUCGGAAGAUGAGAAAGAGUGAUAGUAAUCCCUUACUAAAUACAGUACUGGAGAACUUAAACUCAAAAUUAACCCAAAAGGCAUUAGACCCAUCUCCACAUGAUGCUUUGGGACACUUCAUUGUUGAAGAGUUGUCCAGAAUAAGAAAUCCAAUGACUGUGAGAGACACAAAACAUAAGAUACUGAAAUUUAUCAUGGAAGCUCAAAUAAUGGAUGAUAAUUGUUG